rnacentral:rRNA from 1 species
AAGCUCGUAGUUGAAUUUCGGGAUUGACACAUCGGUCGUGCCUUAAGGGUAUGAACUGGUGUAGUCAAUUUCUCACCUUCUGGAGAACCGCGAUGCCCUUAAUUGGGUGUCGCGGGGAACCAGGACCUUUACUUUGAAAAAAUUAGAGUGUUUAGAGCAGGCAUUUUGCUUGAAUACAUUAGCAUGGAAUAAUAAAAUAGGACGGCAUGAUUCUAUUUUGUUGGUUUCUAGGAUCACCGUAAUGAUUAAUAGGGAUAGUUGGG